rnacentral:misc_RNA from 1 species
UUUUCAUUUAACUAAUUUCCAUGCAUGAAAUUCAUAGUCAACUGUCUCGCAACUAAGUUCGUAAUAUCAACCUAAGGUUCAAUGUAAUAUAGCAAACAGCUUGAGUUCAAUGUCGUCUUGUACACACUGUGAUCAGUUUCAGAUUGACAUAAUGUUUGCAGUGGUUAUACUGGAUCAAUUCAUGCAUGGAAAUUAGUUAAAUGAAAA